GACAGAGGAUGCAAGCGUUAUCCGGAAUCACUGGGCGUAAAGCGUCUGUAGGUGGUCAAAUAAGUCAACUGUUAAAUCUUUGAGGCUCAACCUCAAAAUCGCAGUCGAAACUAUUCGACUAGAGUAUAGUAGGGGUAAAGGGAAUUUCCAGUUGGAGCGGUGAAAUGCGUAGAGAUUGGAAAGAACACCGAUGGCGAAGGCACUUUACUGGGCUAUUACUAACACUGAGAGACGAAAAGCUAGGGUAGCAAAUGGG
rnacentral:rRNA from 1 species